AAAAUUUACCCUAGCAACAUCCUGUCUUCCAGACAUCCACGCUACCUGAAAGAAGACAGCUUUCUGAAUCCAACGAUACCAGUUAUGUGCACGUCGGACCUCCGCUUCAAAAGAUACGGCCAGACAUCCACGCUACCUGAAAGAAGACAGAUUUCUGAAUCCAACGAUACCACUUAUGUGCACGUCGGACCUCCGCUUCAAAAGAUACGGCCAGGAUAUUACCCUUGGCUUCUCGUCGCCCUCUCCUGGAUAAAACUGUGAAUAGCCAUGUACAUCCACGCUACCUGAAAGAAGACAGCUUUCUGAAUCCAACGAUACCAGUUAUGUGCACGUCGGACCUCCGCUUCAAAAGAUACGGCCAGGUAAGCUUUGGCCAAUCAGAUCGCAUAUGCUAAUGAAGGUGGAACCAAUGAGGGUGAAACUCGCUUUUAUCUAUAUACCUGUCUUCCAGACAUCCACGCUACCUGAAAGAAGACAGAUUUCUGAAUCCAACGAUACCACUUAUGUGCACGUCGGACCUCCGCUUCAAAAGAUACGGCCAGGAUAUUACCCUUGGCUUCUCGUCGCCCUCUCCUGGAUAAAACUGUGAAUAGCCAUGUACAUCCACGCUACCUGAAAGAAGACAGCUUUCUGAAUCCAACGAUACCAGUUAUGUGCACGUCGGACCUCCGCUUCAAAAGAUACGGCCAGGUAAGCUUUGGCCAAUCAGAUCGCAUAUGCUAAUGAAGGUGGAACCAAUGAGGGUGAAACUCGCUUUUAUCUAUAUACCUGUCUUCCAGACAUCCACGCUACCUGAAAGAAGACAGAUUUCUGAAUCCAACGAUACCACUUAUGUGCACGUCGGACCUCCGCUUCAAAAGAUACGGCCAGGAUAUUACCCUUGGCUUCUCGUCGCCCUCUCCUGGAUAAAACUGUGAAUAGCCAUGUACAUCCACGCUACCUGAAAGAAGACAGCUUUCUGAAUCCAACGAUACCAGUUAUGUGCACGUCGGACCUCCGCUUCAAAAGAUACGGCCAGGUAAGCUUUGGCCAAUCAGAUCGCAUAUGCUAAUGAAGGUGGAACCAAUGAGGGUGAAACUCGCUUUUAUCUAUAUACCUGUCUUCCAGACAUCCACGCUACCUGAAAGAAGACAGAUUUCUGAAUCCAACGAUACCACUUAUGUGCACGUCGGACCUCCGCUUCAAAAGAUACGGCCAGGUAAGCUUCGGCCAAUCAGAUCGCAUAUGCUAAUGAGGGUCGAAUUAAUGAGGGUGAAACUCGCUUUUACCUAUAUACCUAACCCUAAC